rnacentral:rRNA from 1 species
UGCUUGCACUUCGCUGACGAGUGGCGGACGGGUGAGUAAUGCUUGGGAACUUGCCUUUGCGAGGGGGAUAACAGUUGGAAACGACUGCUAAUACCGCAUAAUGUCUACGGACCAAACGGGGCUUAGGCUCCGGCGCAAAGAGAGGCCCAAGUGAGAUUAGCUAGUUGGUAAGGUAAAGGCUUACCAAGGCAACGAUCUCUAGCUGUUCUGAGAGGAAGAUCAGCCACACUGGAACUGAGACACGGUCCAGACUCCUACGGGAGGCAGCAGUGGGGAAUAUUGCACAAUGGGGGAAACCCUGAUGCAGCCAUGCCGCGUGUGUGAAGAAGGCCUUCGGGUUGUAAAGCACUUUCAGUUGUGAGGAAAAGUUAGUAGUUAAUACCUGCUAGCCGUGACGUUAACAACAGAAGAAGCACCGGCUAACUCCGUGCCAGCAGCCGCGGUAAUACGGAGGGUGCGAGCGUUAAUCGGAAUUACUGGGCGUAAAGCGCACGCAGGCGGUUUGUUAAGCUAGAUGUGAAAGCCCCGGGCUCAACCUGGGAUGGUCAUUUAGAACUGGCAGACUAGAGUCUUGGAGAGGGGAGUGGAAUUCCAGGUGUAGCGGUGAAAUGCGUAGAUAUCUGGAGGAACAUCAGUGGC